GACGAACGCUGGCGGCGUGCUUAACACAUGCAAGUCGAACGGAAAGGCCCUGCUUUUGUGGGGUGCUCGAGUGGCGAACGGGUGAGUAACACGUGAGUAACCUGCCCUUGACUUUGGGAUAACUUCAGGAAACUGGGGCUAAUACCGGAUAGGAGCUCCUGCUGCAUGGUGGGGGUUGGAAAGUUUCGGCGGUUGGGGAUGGACUCGCGGCUUAUCAGCUUGUUGGUGGGGUAGUGGCUUACCAAGGCUUUGACGGGUAGCCGGCCUGAGAGGGUGACCGGCCACAUUGGGACUGAGAUACGGCCCAGACUGCUACGGGAGGCAGCAGUGGGGAAUCUUGCACAAUGGGCGGAAGCCUGAUGCAGCAACGCCGCGUGCGGGAUGACGGCCUUCGGGUUGUAAACCGCUUUCGCCUGUGACGAAGCGUGAGUGACGGUAAUGGGUAAAGAAGCACCGGCUAACUACGUG
rnacentral:rRNA from 1 species